rnacentral:lncRNA from 1 species
GGGUCACUGGUUCACAGCUUGUGCAGAUAAUGGCUGUCAAUUGUGCUUUAGAAAUUCAUCGAGCUCAUCGGCGUAACCCAGGGCCAGAUGACUGUGCUGAGGCUCACAGAGCUGCUGGAGCGAGGGGAGAGGCUGCCGCGGCCUGACAGAUGUCCCUGUGAGAUCUAUCACCUCAUGAAGAACUGCUGGGAGUCAGAGGCCUCCUUCCGGCCCACGUUCCAGAAUCUUGUGCCCAUCCUUAAGACAGCACAGGAGAAGUACCAAGGCCAGGUGCCUUCAGUGUUCAGCGUGUGCUGAGAGUCAAGGGCAUCGGGGAACAGCCCCACAAAGGCCUCCACACACUCUAUCCCUUACUCUGCCUGAAACCCCACCUGUGAACUAAGUUUCC